AUGAGGAUCAAUUCCCUCCGUCAGCUGUGCAGUGCUGGGCUCAUCCCUCCCCUCCGUCAGCCACAGGCGGAGGGUCUCGGUGUCCUCUCGCCUGACUUUGGUGUCAUUGACCUGUGGAGCACUGUGCUGCCACAAGAGGAGCAGUCAGGCUGCAUCCCUCCUCGGGUUUUUAGUUUCAGUGAAGCAACUGAAUCUGACUGUUUUGUGGAUGAGACACUUGAGCAGAAAGCAUGUGAGCACCAGCAAGAGGAAGCGCUGGGACGCUUCCCUCAAGGUGUCUCCUGUUCCCUGCUGACGGGCCUCCACCACGGCCCCCUGUCCGAGGAGCCUGUAGCCAGUGGCAAGCAGGACAGCAGCUCCGCCCUCAGCCCUGUGCGCAGCUUGAUUUCGAAUAGCUCUGCUCCUUCUGAAACCACCGACGAGAGCCCCCACAAAGCCCGACUAAAGACGGAUGAGACCUUUGUCCAGAGCGCCACUGCCAGGCUGGAUCAUUGCAAAGUGGGCUGCUGGUGGAAACAGGACACUGAGACCUGCGGAGCCUCCAGUGGCCUCUUAUCUGCUGCAGAACCAGCAGCCGCUUUCACAUCAGAUAAUCCUCUCGUUUUACGUCGGCCACAUUCAUACAGUCUGCUCACCUUUAUGGACAAAAGAGAUGGCAAACAGGCGGACAAAGAGGAGCCUGCAGGUUGGAGUUCUGGGACGGCGUCACAAGGCGCCAUACGAAAUGGAAGAAUGCGAUCGAGGAAAGGGAAACGAGUGAAGAGGGCAUGA
rnacentral:lncRNA from 1 species